GUCUGCAUUGGCAGCACAUAUACUAAAAUUGGAAUAACAGAGAAGACCAGCAUGUUCCCUGCAUGAGAUGCACACAAACUCCUGGAGUGUUCUGUAUUUUU
ensembl:snRNA U6 U6 spliceosomal RNA